rnacentral:snRNA from 1 species
AUUGCUUCUAGGCCUUUUGGCUAAGAUCAAGUGUAGUAAAAGGAAUUUAUUUAUGGAAUUCAAUUCUUCUACCUUGGUGUUUUCAUAGAAGAAUGCCACUGACUUUUGAAUGUUAAUUUUGUAACCUGAC